UACGAAGGGGGCUAGCGUUGCUCGGAAUCACUGGGCGUAAAGCGCACGUAGGCGGAUUGUUAAGUCAGGGGUGAAAUCCUGGAGCUCAACUCCAGAACUGCCUUUGAUACUGGCGAUCUCGAGUCCGGGAGAGGUGAGUGGAACUGCGAGUGUAGAGGCGAAAUUCGUAGAUAUUCGCAAGAACACCAGUGGCGAAGGCGGCUCACUGGCCCGGUACUGACGCUGAGGUGCGAAAGCGUGGGGAGCAAACAGG
rnacentral:rRNA from 1 species